UGGGCAAAGAGACCCUUUAGAAAAGACCCGUUGGUCGACGUAACGGGUCUCUUUAAUUUAAGAGAUCUAAUAUUAUAGAUAACGGCUCUCUUAUGAGUUAAAUGGCCCAUUAAAAUUAGAGGGGUGAAAAAUAAAAGACCUGUUAUCUGAUUUAACGGGUCUCUAGCGUAUAAAAGGGGCCAUUUAAAUGCCGUGCAAAAUAAAAUAAAAGAAGCAAUAAACCCUUUAUUUACUUAACGGGUCUCUUAUGUAUCAAGGGACCCACCACUUCUCGUAAAAAAUAAUUGGAAAAUAGCAAAAGAGCCGUCAUUUAACAUAACGGGUCUCUAUUUUCAUUCAUUUCCUGGCGCCAAGACUUUCGCAAAACCCAAUUUCACCCUAGGUUUUUCUUUUCCCUCUUUCUUCUUCCCUGGACAUACAACCCCUAGGUUUUUUCUUUGCCUCUUUCUUCUUCCCUGGACAUACAACCUAAGGCAACCAUCGACGAAUUCAUUGACGAACUCACCACUACCAACGGCUAAUCGGAGAACUAAGUUACGAUUGGCGACUUCACUCCCACUGGCGACCUCGACACAAUCGCUAGCAAACUACAAAUUUAGGUGUUUAAUAGAUACAAUGGUGUGAUUGAUGGAGUCCAGUUCUCAUCACAUGACCCUGUAGGUGGCCUACUAGCUAGAUCUACCCAUUGAUCCAUCUGCUGGUAUUCGUUGUGCAGAGGUUUGUUUCUUGUUGAAGGUAAGGUGUAAGGGAAGUUCACAUUUGG